rnacentral:misc_RNA from 1 species
GAAAUGCGAUAAGUAGUGUGAAUUGCAGAAUUCAGUGAAUCAUCGAAUCUUUGAACGCACAUUGCGCCCACUGGUAUUCCGGUGGGCAUGCCUGUUCGAACGUCAUCAAACAUCUCAGUACCCUCCCUUGCGGUGUGGAUGCUGGUCUUGUCCCGUGCCGGUCCUCUCGGAUCAGCUGGGUCGAAAUUCAAUGAUGCUGACAGCUGUCCUGUCUUCGUGUAGUAAUUAUAACCUCAUGGAAGCAGAGCAAAGUUGUCCAGCCAACCAGACCCCAAUUUUCUAGUGUUUGACUUCGGAUCAGGUAGGGAUACCCGCUGAACUUAA